UACGUAGGAGGCAAGCGUUGUCCGGAAUCACUGGGCGUAAAGCGCGUGUAGGCGGAUCGCUAAGUCUGUGGUGAAAGCGCCUGGCUUAACCGGGCGAGGUCCAUGGAAACUAGCGGUCUGGAGGCCGGUAGAGGGGGGGUGGAAUUCCGGGUGUAGUGGUGAAAUGACGCAGAUAUCAGGAGGAACACCGAUUGCGAAGGCAGCUCGCUGGGACGUUACUGACGCUGAGACGCGAAAGCGUGGGGAGCAAACAGG
rnacentral:rRNA from 1 species